rnacentral:rRNA from 1 species
GCUUGUCUCAAAGAUUAAGCCAUGCAUGUCUAAGUACAAGCCUCAGUAAGGUGAAACCGCGAAUGGCUCAUUAAAUCACACCUAAUCUACUGGAAAGUUACUAGUUACUUGGAUAACUGAGGUAAUUCUUGAGCUAAUACAUGCAGGAAGACCCGACUCACGAAGGGUUGUAUUUAUUAGAUAAGAAACCUUCCCCUUUGGGUUGCGUGCCGAGUCACAAUAACUGCUCGAAUCGCAUGGCUUCACGCCGGCGAUGGUUCAUUCAAAUUUCUGCCCUAUCAGCUUUCGAUGGUAGGAUCGAGGCCUACCAUGGCGUUUACGGGUAACGGAGAAUUAGGGUUCGAUUCCGGAGAGGGAGCCUGAGAGAUGGCUACCACAUCCAAGGAAGGCAGCAGG